rnacentral:rRNA from 1 species
AUUGAACGCUGGCGGCAUGCCUUACACAUGCAAGUCGAACGGUAACAGGUCUUCGGAUGCUGACGAGUGGCGAACGGGUGAGUAAUACAUCGGAACGUGCCCGAGAGUGGGGGAUAACGAGGCGAAAGCUUUGCUAAUACCGCAUACGAUCUCAGGAUGAAAGCAGGGGGCCGCAAGGCCUUGCGCUCGCGGAGCGGCCGAUGGCAGAUUAGGUAGUUGGUGGGAUAAAAGCUUACAAAGCCGACGAUCUGUAGCUGGUCUGAGAGGACGACCAGCCACACUGGGACUGAGACACGGCCCAGACUCCUACGGGAGGCAGCAGUGGGGAAUUUUGGACACUGGGCGCAAGCCUGAUCCAGCCAUGCCGCGUGCAUGAUGAAGUCCUUCGGGUUGUAAACUGCUUUUGUACGGAACGAAAAGACUCUGGUUAAUACCUGGGGUCCAUGACGGUACCGUAAGAAUAAGCACCGGCUAACUACGUGCCAGCCGCCGCAGUAAAAC